UUGUCGGUAAAACUCGUGCCAGCAACCGCGGUUAUACGAAAGGCCCACAGUUGAUAAGUUACGGCGUAAAGCGUGGUUAGGAUAAACUAAAAACUAAAGCUGAAUAACCUCUCAGCCGUCUAAAGCAUGUGAGAAUACGAAACACAACUACGAAAGUGGCUUUACCAUUCUGACCCCACGAAAGCUAGGGCUCAAACUGGGAUUAGAUACCCCACUAUGA
rnacentral:rRNA from 1 species